GCGCGUCUUGGCUGUGAGAAGGUCUUUUCCAGGUUGUAGAGUUCGACCUCAUGGCGGAGAUAAUUCAGGAACGCAUAGAGGAUCGACUCCCCGAAUUGCAACAGCUGGAGCGCAUUGGACUGUUCAGUCGUGCGGAGAUUAAGGCUAUCAUUAAAAAGGCUUCAGAUCUAGAAUACAGAAUAUAGCAAAGAACUCUUUUUAAGGAAGACUUUAUCAAUUAUGUUCAAUAUGAAAUCAAUCUUUUGGAACAGAUCCAGCGAAGACGAGUUCAUAUUGGGUAUUCAUUUAAGAAGGAUGAGAUUGAAAAUUCUAUCGUACACUGGGUACAAGGUGUCUUCCGACGUGCAUCAGCCAAG